rnacentral:rRNA from 1 species
GAUGAACGCUAGCGGCAGGCCUAAUACAUGCAAGUCGAGGGAGAAUGUUGGAUUCGUCUGACAUGAAACCGGCGCACGGGUGCGUAACACGUAUGCAACCUACCUUUAACUGGGGUAUAGCUCAGAGAAAUCUGAAUUAAUCCCCCAUAAGACUACGACAUGGCAUCAUGAUGUAGUUAAAGCUCUGGCGGUUAAGGAUGGGCAUGCGGUACAUUAGCUAGUUGGUGAGGUAAUGGCUCACCAAGGCGACGAUGUAUAGGGGGUCUGAGAGGAUGAUCCCCCACACUAGUAAUGGGACACAGACCUGACUCCUACGGGAGGCAGCAGUAAGGAAUAUUGGUCAAUGGACGCAAGUCUGAACCAGCCAUGCCGCGUGAAGGAUGAAGGCCCUAUGGGUCGUAAACUUCUUUUAUUAGGAAAGAAAAAACGGGAUGCGUCCUGUACUGACGGUACUUAAUGAAUAAGGAUCGGCUAUGUUCGUGCCAGCAGCCGCGGUAA